rnacentral:rRNA from 1 species
UACGUAGGGUGCGAGCGUUGUCCGGAAUUAUUGGGCGUAAAGAGCUCGUAGGCGGUCUGUCGCGUCGAAUGUGAAAACCCGGGGCUCAACUCCGGGCUUGCAUUCGAUACGGGCAGGCUAGAGUUCGGUAGGGGAGUCUGGAAUUCCUGGUGUAGCGGUGAAAUGCGCAGAUAUCAGGAGGAACACCGGUGGCGAAGGCGGGACUCUGGGCCGAUACUGACGCUGGAGGAGCGAAAGCGUGGGGAGCGAACAGG